rnacentral:tRNA from 1 species
AAAAAUUUAGUUAAAAAAUAACAUUAGUUUGUCAAGCUAAAAUUAUUGCAAAGUAAUAAUUUUUA